GGUGGCUCAGUGGUAGAGUGCUUGCCUUGCAUGCAUGAGGUCCUGGGUUCAGUUCCCCAGUACCA
rnacentral:tRNA from 1 species